CGUGGACUAACACCCCUUUGCUUGUGUCUCGUGUCACCUCCCAUGUGAAUGUUACACCCAGAAACGCCUCAACAAACCCCUCCUACUCUCUGCAAUAUACCACCGGGUACAAAAGUACCCGCCGCCUUGCAGAGAGAAAUUCCCCAGUCCUAAUCUUGUCAAUGUACAGAGCAGCCUCUCACCUCUUCCUUCCUUUAUUUUUUUUUUUUUUUUUCGAUUUGGAUUGUACUUCGGAAAACUCCUUAUCAGUUCCAUAGUUGUUCGAUCUUUUGUUAGUACUUAAUCUCGUGAUUGGUAGCUACUGCAUCCCGUCUAACAUUAGUGUCAUGUUAAAAUCGAAGAAUAUCAUCACCCAAGCAUAUGUAGAUUGAUUUGCACUGUUCGAUUGCUAUAAUGCUACAGCACUGGAAGGUGAUAGAGUAAUCAUAUAGACCUCCCAAGUAAUACAAGCUUAUGACUCCGACCCACCUACACACAUAGACAACCAGAUGUUUAUCCAAGAAAUGAAGAUACAACCAUAUUAUUAAUGAAGUGGGUUGGGAAGGCUUUCAAAUCUUCAAGAGUUGCUGGGGUUUAGACCUGCAAGAUCAAACCAAUUAGAAGGGUGUUGUAUUUCAGAGUUGAAGGGCUUGAUCCAACUUAGAAAGCUUGAAUUACGGUUAGCAAGGGGGUGAUGAGAUUGGAGAUGAUGAGGUGAAUGUUCUGUUACAUCUUCAACAGCUGCAAAUUUUAACCACAAGUUGUUUUGACAGUCAUGGUGGUGAUCUUGUGGCAAAGAUGAAUAAACUCUGUCCUCCUCAACAACUUCAUGAGCUUCGUCUCAAUUUCUUUCUAGGGGAGAUGAGUCCAACUUGGCUCAACCCUAUUUCACUUCCAAUACUAUGGUAUCUUUCUAUCUGUUCAGGAAAUAUGGCGAAAAUGAACCAGAGAUUUUGGGGUACAGCAACUUGUGUCUGGAAGAUAGAGGGCUUAAUGUUGGAGUCCUUGUCAGAUUUAGAAGGGGAGUGGGCAGCAGUUCAUCAAGCAAUGCCUUCCCUUAGAUUUGUGAUUGUUUCUUGGUGCCCAAAGUUGGAAUCUUUCCCAAUUGAAGAUGCUGGGUUUAGAGUAGGGGUGUGGAAAAAGGAAGAACAAAGGACAUCGAAAAUAUAUGGAUUAGGUUUGGAAGUGUCAUUGUAAUUUAUCAUUUUUCUUUGCCUUGUAGUGUUAUUGUUAUGUAUAAUUUAUUUGUAUUUUCCAGAAUUUGGAGUGAGUGCUUCCAUAACUAGGAGAAAUAUGAAUGCUGUCAGUCUGGUGUGAUUAUUUGGCAAUGGGAGGAAUCAUGCUCUGUAAGUUGCCUUACUAUGAUGAAUGGAGGAGAAUUGCAGAAAA